CCGGUAAACGGCGGCCGUAACUAUAACGGUCCUAAGGUAGCGAAAUUCCUUGUCGGGUAAGUUCCGACCUGCACGAAUGGCGUAAUGAUGGCCAGGCUGUCUCCACCCGAGACUCAGUGAAAUUGAACUCGCUGUGAAGAUGCAGUGUACCCGCGGCAAGACGGAAAGACCCCGUGAACCUUUACUAUAGCUUGACACUGAACAUUGAGCCUUGAUGUGUAGGAUAGGUGGGAGGCUUUGAAGUGUGGACGCCAGUCUGCAUGGAGCCGACCUUGAAAUACCACCCUUUAAUGUUUGAUGUUCUAACGUUGACCCGUAAUCCGGGUUGCGGACAGUGUCUGGUGGGUAGUUUGACUGGGGCGGUCUCCUCCUAAAGAGUAACGGAGGAGCACGAAGGUUGGCUAAUCCUGGUCGGACAUCAGGAGGUUAGUGCAAUGGCAUAAGCCAGCUUGACUGCGAGCGUGACGGCGCGAGCAGGUGCGAAAGCAGGUCAUAGUGAUCCGGUGGUUCUGAAUGGAAGGGCCAUCGCUCAACGGAUAAAAGGUACUCCGGGGAUAACAGGCUGAUACCGCCCAAGAGUUCAUAUCGACGGCGGUGUUUGGCACCUCGAUGUCGGCUCAUCACAUCCUGGGGCUGAAGUAGGUCCCAAGGGUAUGGCUGUUCGCCAUUUAAAGUGGUACGCGAGCUGGGUUUAGAACGUCGUGAGACAGUUCGGUCCCUAUCUGCCGUGGGCGCUGGAGAACUGAGGGGGGCUGCUCCUAGUACGAGAGGACCGGAGUGGACGCAUCACUGGUGUUCGGGUUGUCAUGCCAAUGGCACUGCCCGGUAGCUAAAUGCGGAAGAGAUAAGUGCUGAAAGCAUCUAAGCACGAAACUUGCCCCGAGAUGAGUUCUCCCUGACCCUUUAAGGGUCCUGAAGGAACGUUGAAGACGACGACGUUGAUA
rnacentral:rRNA from 1 species